rnacentral:rRNA from 1 species
AUGGUUAGGAGUGUACCGAUUGGUGAGAAGCUCUUCAUAGGAGGAGACCUCAAUGGCCACGUGGGUACAUCUAACACAGGUUUUGAAGGGACGCAUGGGGGCUUUGGCUAUGGCAUCAGGAAUCAAGAAGGAGAAGAUGUCUUAAGCUUUGCUCUAGCCUACAACAUGAUUGUAGCUAACACCCUCUUUAGAAAGAGAGAAUCACAUCUGGUGACUUUUAGUAGUGGCCAACACUCUAGCCAGAUUGAUUUCAUCCUCUCAAGAAGAGAAGAUAGGCGUGCGUGCCUAGACUAUAAGGUGAUACCUGGAGAGAGUGUUGUACCCCAGCAUAAGCUGGUGGUUGCUGACUUCCGCUUUCGGAUUCGUGUCCAGCGGGAUAAGCGUGCCAAAGUCGCUAGAACGAAGUGGUGGAAGCUCAAGGGGGAGGUAGCUCAGGUGUUCAAGGAGAGGGUAAUUAAGGAGGGCCCUUGGGAGGAAGGAGGGGAUGCGGACAAUGUGUGGAUGAAGAUGGCGACUUGCAUUCGUAAGGUGGCCUCGGAGGAGUUUGGGGUGUCCAGGGGAAGGAGAAGCGAAGAUAAGGAUACCUGGUGGUGGAAUGAUGAUGUCCAGAAGGCGAUUAAAGAGAAGAAAGAUUGCUUCAGACGCCUAUACCUGGAUAGGAGUGCAGACAACAUAGAGAAGUACAAGAUGGCGAAGAAGGCCGCAAAGCGAGCUGUUGGUGAAGCAAGGGGUCGGGCAUAUGAGGACCUUUACCAACGGUUAGGCACGAAGGAAGGUGAAAGGGACAUCUAUAAGAUGGCUAAGAUCCGGGAGAGGAAGACGAGGGAUAUUGGCCAAGUCAAAUGCAUCAAGGACGGAGCAGGCCAACUCUUGGUGAAGGACGAGGAGAUUAAGCAUAGAUGGCGGGAGUACUUCGACAAGCUGUUCAAUGGGGAGAAUGAGAGUUCUACCAUUGAACUAGACGACUCCUUUGAUGAGACUAGCAUGCGUUUUGUGCGGCGCAUCCAGGAGUCUGAGGUGAAGGAGGCUUUAAAAAGGAUGAAAGGAGGCAAGGCGAUGGGCCCUGAUUGUAUCCCCAUUGAGGUGUGGAAAGGUCUCGGGGACAUAGCGAUAGUAUGGCUAACCAAGCUUUUUAACCUCAUUUUUCGGGCAAACAAGAUGCCAGAAGAAUGGAGACGGAGUAUAUUAGUACCAAUCUUCAAGAACAAGGGGGAUGUUCAGAGUUGUACUAAUUACCGUGGAAUUAAGCUGAUGAGCCAUACAAUGAAGCUAUGGGAGAGAGUCAUUGAGCACCGCUUAAGAAGAAUGACAAGCGUGACCAAAAAUCAGUUUGGUUUCAUGCCUGGGAGGUCGACCAUGGAAGCCAUUUUCUUGGUACGACAACUUAUGGAGAGAUAUAGGGAGCAAAAGAAGGACUUGCAUAUGGUGUUCAUUGACUUGGAGAAGGCCUAUGAUAAGAUACCGCGGAAUGUCAUGUGGUGGGCCUUGGAGAAACACAAAGUUCCAGCAAAGUACAUUACCCUCAUCAAGGACAUGUACGAUAAUGUUCUGACAAGUGUUCGAACAAGUGAUGUCGACACCGAUGACUUCCCGAUUAAGAUAGGAUUGCAUCAGGGGUCAGCUUUGAGCCCUUAUCUUUUUGCAUUGGUGAUGGAUGAGGUCACAAGGGAUAUACAAGGAGAUAUCCCAUGGUGUAUGCUCUUUGCGGAUGAUGUGGUGCUAGUUGACGAUAGUCGGACGGGGGUAAAUGGGAAGUUAGAGUUAUGGAGACAAACCUUGGAAUCGAAAGGGUUUAGGCUUAGUAGAACUAAAACCGAGUACAUGAUGUGCGGUUUCAGUACUACUAGGUGUGAGGAGGAGGUUAGCCUUGAUGGCCAGGUGGUACCUCGGAAGGACACCUUUCGGUAUUUGGGGUCAAUGUUGCAGGAGGAUGGGGGUAUUGAUGAAGAUGUGAACCAUCGAAUCAAAGCCGGAUGGAUGAAGUGGCGCCAAGCUUCUGGCAUUCUCUGUGACAAGAGAGUGCCACAAAAGCUAAAAGGCAAAUUCUACAGGACGGCGGUUCGACCCGCAAUGUUGUAUGGCGCGGAGUGUUGGCCGACUAAAAGGCGACAUGUUCAACAAUUAGCUGUGGCGGAGAUGCGUAUGUUGAGAUGGAUGUGUGGCCACACGAGGAAGGAUCGAGUCCGGAAUGAUGAUAUACGAGAUAGAGUUGGGGUAGCACCAAUUGAGGAGAAGCUUGUCCAACAUCGUCUGAGAUGGUUUGGGCAUAUUCAGCGCAGACCUCCAGAAGCUCCAGUGCAUAGCGGACGGCUAAAGCGUGCGGAGAAUGUCAAGAGAGGGCGGGGUCGACCCAAUUUGACAUGGGAGGAGUCCGUUAAGAGAGACCUGAAGGAUUGGAGUAUCGACAAAGAGCUAGCUAUGGACAGGGGUGCGUGGAAGCUUGCUAUCCAUGUGCCAGAGCCAUGA